CGACGUUAAGAGGAAACAAUGUUUCUUUUAGGACAUGCUGCAACGGAAAAAGACAGGGUCUUGAACUCCUAGCCUCAAGUGAUCCUACUGCCUCCACCUCCCAAAGUGUUGAAAUUACCGGCCUGAGCCACUGUGUCUGGCUCCUAUGUUGUCCUUAUAAGAACACCAUGUGAAGAUACAGAGACACACAGGGAAAAAGCCCAUGCGAAGACAGAGACAGAGACUGAAGUGCUGCAGCUACAAGCCAAAGAAUGCUGAGGAUUGCUGGCAACCACCAGAAGCUAGGGGAGAGGCAUGUGUGGUUUCUGCUGCAGACCCUCCAGAAGGAACUAACCCUGCUGACAACUUGAUUUAGGAGUGCUGGCUUCCUGAAUUGUGAGAGAAUAAAUUUCUGUUCUUUAAAGCCACCAAGUUUGCAGUAGUUUGUUAUGGUAGCCCUAGGAAAUACAGGGGCGUUGGGGGAAAUAGGGAACCAUUGCUAAUCAGUACAAGGUUUCUUUUUGGGGUGAUGAAAAUGUUCUAAAAUUGUGGUGAUGGUUGCGUAACUCUGUGGAUAUAUUAAAAACCACUGAAUAAUACAUUUUUUUUUUUUUUUUUUUUUUUUUAGUCUUGCUCUGUUGCCCAGGCUGGGGUGCAGUGGCUUGAUCUCAGCUCACUGCAACCUCUGCCUGUCAGGUUCAAGC
rnacentral:lncRNA from 1 species